rnacentral:rRNA from 1 species
GUGGCGAACGGGUGAGUAACACGUGGGUAAUCUGCCCUGUACUCUGGGAUAAGCCUGGGAAACUGGGUCUAAUACCGGAUAUGACCUUUCACCGCAUGGUGGGGGGUGGAAAGUUCCGGCGGUAUGGGAUGAACCCGCGGCCUAUCAGCUUGUUGGUGGGGUAAUGGCCUACCAAGGCGACGACGGGUAGCCGGCCUGAGAGGGUGACCGGCCACACUGGGACUGAGACACGGCCCAGACUCCUACGGGAGGCAGCAGUGGGGAAUAUUGCACAAUGGGCGCAAGCCUGAUGCAGCGACGCCGCGUGAGGGAUGACGGCCUUCGGGUUGUAAACCUCUUUCGCCAGGGACGAAGCGCGAGUGACGGUACCUGGAUAAGAAGCACCGGCUAACUACGUGCCAGCAGCCGCGGUAAUACGAAGGGUGCAAGCGUUACUCGGAAUUACUGGGCGUAAAGGGUGCGUAGGUGGUUGUUUAAGUCUGC